ACCCUUUGGUGGCGACCUCUCCUUUAGCGGGCGGUCUACUUGCACCUGUUUGUCAUCAAACAACGCAAUAACCAAGAAGCCCGCGCCCUGCGGGCUUUUUUGU
rfam:Leminorella grimontii ATCC 33999 = DSM 5078 strain ATCC 33999 GLGR.assembly.11, whole genome shotgun sequence.